rnacentral:tRNA from 1 species
GCCCGGGUGGCGGAAUUGGUAGACGCGCUGGACUUAAAAUCCAGUUCCUAUUUUUGGAGUGCCGGUUCGACCCCGGCCUCGGGUA